GUGGUUGUCGACUUGCGGGCGGCCCCCCUCCGCAGCGGUGGGGGUGCUGUCCCGCCGGCCCGUCGUGCUGCCCUCCCGGGGAGUUUGCGCGAGCGUUGGCUCCCCCUGGGCCUUUGCGGUGCUCCUGGAGCGCUCCGGGUUGUCCCUCAGGUUCCCGAGGCCGAGCGGUGGUGUGUCGUUCCCACCCCCAGCGCCCCCUCCUCCGGUCGGCGCCUCGGUGUCCGCGCGUGGGUCCUGAGGGAGCUCGUCGGUGUGGGGUUCGAGGCGGUUGAGUGAGACGAGACGCGCCCCUCCCACGCGGGGAAGGGCGCCCGCCUGGUCCGGCGAGCGCACGUCCGGUGCUCCCCUCUGGCGGGUGCGCACGGGCCCUGUGAGCGAUCGCGGUGGGCUUGGGCUGGUGACGCGUGCGCCGGCCGGCCGCCGAGGGGCUACCGUUCUGCCUCCGACCGGUCGUGUGUGGGUUUACUCGGAGGUGCUUUGCCUCUGAAGAAAAGAGGCGGGUGGACGGGGUGGGGGGGGGGGUGGGAGGCGGGGGCUUGUGGAGUUGCGCUCACGCUCGCACCUGCCGGUCCCCGCCCUGACCGCGAACGCUCAAGGUUGCCGCACGCAGGUUUUUCCUGGUACCACAGGCCCCCUCCCUUCCCCAGGCCUCCCUGAGCGCCUCUGCGGGCCCCUCGGGCCCCACGAGGGGCGGCUGGCGGGUGGGGAGUGUGACCCAUCCUCGGUGAGAAAGCCUUCUCUAGCGAUCCAAGAGGUGUGCCUUGGGGUACGGGAUCCCCCGGCCUGCCGCCUCUGUCUCUCUCUCCGUUAUGGUAGCGCUGCAGUAGCGACUCGCUUGCAGAGGAACCCUCCUCAGCUUCCCCCUCGACGGGGUGACGGGGGGAGAGCGAGGGUUCCGCCGGCCACCGCGGUGGUGGCCGAGCGCGGCUCGUCGCCUACUGUGGCCGGCGCCUCCCCUUUCCGAGUAAGGGGAGGAUCCCGCCGGCAGGGCCCAGCGUCCUAGCGGGUUGGGACGCGGCUGACAGCGAGCGAUGGCUGCGCGCAGCGUUCCGUCCGGCGAGUGACCCCCCUCCGCCGCGAGUCAGCUCUCCGCCCGCUCCCUUGCCGAGUCGCGACCGGUGCGGACGACGGCGUUUGCGUGGCACGUGGUCGGGCCGCCUGGCCCUGGGAAAGCGUCCCACGGUGGGGGCGCGCCGGUCUCCCGGAGCGGGACCGGGUCGGAGGAUGGACGAGAAUCACGAGCGAUGUGGCCCUGGCGUUGAGUUUGUGGCUGUGGUCGCUUCGGGGCCCCGGUGGCGGGACCAGGGGCUCGUGAGGCAGGUCUUGGUGGGUGCCGAGGGCCUUCCGGCGUCCCAGGCGGGGCGCCGCGGGACCGCCCUCGUGUCUGUGGCGGUGGGAUCCCGCGGCCGUGUUUUCCUGGUGGCCCGGCCAUGCCUGAGGUUUCUCCCUCAGCCGCCCCUCUGCGGGCUCCCAGGUGCCCUUGCCCUCGCGGUCCCCGGCCCUUGCCUGUCUGCGCCCCCUUCCCCGCCCGCCGCCCGCCGAUCCUCUCUCCUCCCCGAGCGGCUCACCGGCUUUACGUCGGUUGGUGGCCGCGUCUGGGACCGAACCGGGCACCGCCUUGUGGAAAAAAAAGAAUAGAAUAUACCCUGUUAAAUCAGACAUGAUACUUGCUUUUGUGGAGCUUAUGCUUUAGUGCAGAAACAGAAAGUCAAGCAAAAACUCAAACUAUGUAACUUUAAAUUGGAUAUGUGCUAAUGAAGGAAAAUGUGGCACUGUAAGAAAAAAUAAUAGGGAGUUAAAGGAUAAAUAGGAGUUUGCUGGAUGAAAUUUAUGAAGAGCUGAAGAUUUCAAACAAAAGAAACUGAUGCAGGAGGGUGCAGCUUUGGAGUCAAGAAUGAAGUUCUAGGAGAUAGAGAGCAAAGAAAUGGUGGGAGAGGAGGUCAAAAAAUACUAGGCUUUAGAAUUUCACCAUAUGAAUUUUGGGAGAGAGGAGCACAGUUCAGCCCAUAACUAACACACGACGGAAUGAAGUUGAUAAUAGUGAGACCUUGUUGGUACAAGACUAUGUAACAUAACCUGCGCUUCUCAACAAAGAAUUGCUUUUCUGACUUCUGCACUCAAUAGCAAGACAAAUCUCUCCUCUGCCUUCUCCUUAUCAGACUACUCAACAUGAAGGCAAUAAGAAUGAAGACCUCUAUGUAUAAUAAUUGACUUCCACUUAAUAAAUAUCCCCACUUUUGUUCCUAGAGCAACACGCUGUCCUGGAUAGCUAACGUGUUUAUGAAUGCAAGGAAAUUUUCAAAAAGGGAGUUUGAAAUUUAACUCCACAAACUACUAUCUGGAUUGGAAUGCUACAUUAAAUGUAUUAUAAUUUUGUAUGGACAUAUAAGGAUGGGGAAUGAAAAGCAUCCAAGGCCAUAUGUUGAUAAUCUUUUGAUAUGUUAAGAAAUAAUCUAGUGUUAUUUUCUAUUUCUUCUCAAAUGUUUUUA
rnacentral:lncRNA from 1 species